UGGGGAAUUUUGGACAAUGGGCGAAAGCCUGAUCCAGCAAUGCCGCGUGUGUGAAGAAGGCCUUCGGGUUGUAAAGCACUUUUGUCCGGAAAGAAAUCCUUGGCUCUAAUACAGUCGGGGGAUGACGGUACCGGAAGAAUAAGCACCGGCUAACUACGUGCCAGCAGCCGCGGUAAUACGUAGGGUGCAAGCGUUAAUCGGAGUUACUGGGCGUAAAGCGUGCGCAGGCGGUUUGCUAAGACCGAUGUGAAAUCCCCGGGCUCAACCUGGGAACUGCAUUGGUGACUGGCAGGCUAGAGUAUGGCAGAGGGGGGUAGAAUUCCACGUGUAGCAGUGAAAUGCGUAGAGAUGUGGAGGAAUACCGAUGGCGAAGGCAGCCCCCUGGGCCAAUACUGACGCUCAUGCACGAAAGCGUGGGGAGCAAACAGGAUUAGAUACCCUGGUAGUCCACGCCCUAAAACGAUGUCAACUAGUUGUUGGGGAUUCAUUUCCUUAGUAACGUAGCUAACGCGUGAAGUUGACCGCCUGGGGAGUACGGUCGCAAGAUUAAAACUCAAAUGAAUUGACGGGGUCAUAGCUGUUUCCU
rnacentral:rRNA from 1 species